rnacentral:rRNA from 1 species
UACACUCCUGCGGGAGGCAGCAGUGGGGAAUAUUGCACAAUGGGCGCAAGCCUGAUGCAGCGACGCCGCGUGGGGGAUGAAGGCCUUCGGGUUGUAAACUCCUUUCGCUAGGGACGAAGCUUUUUUGUGACGGUACCUAGAUAAGAAGCACCGGCUAACUACGUGCCAGCAGCCGCGGUAAUACGUAGGGUGCGAGCGUUGUCCGGAAUUACUGGGCGUAAAGGGCUCGUAGGUGGUUUGUCGCGUCGUCUGUGAAAUUCUGGGGCUUAACUCCGGGCGUGCAGGCGAUACGGGCAUAACUUGAGUGCUGUAGGGGUAACUGGAAUUCCUGGUGUAGCGGUGAAAUGCGCAGAUAUCAGGAGGAACACCGAUGGCGAAGGCAGGUUACUGGGCAGUUACUGACGCUGAGGAGCGAAAGCAUGGGUAGCGAACAGGAUUAGAUACCCGAGUAGUCCCAUGAU